rnacentral:tRNA from 2 species
GGGUCAGAAGCACAGAGGUUGUGCGAUCGGCUGUUAACCGAUUGGUCGAAGGUUCGAAUCCUUCCUGUCACGCCA